rnacentral:rRNA from 1 species
UACGGAGGGAGCUAGCGUUGUUCGGAAUUACUGGGCGUAAAGCGCACGUAGGCGGCUUUGUAAGUUAGAGGUGAAAGCCUGGGGCUCAACUCCAGAAUUGCCUUUAAGACUGCAUCGCUUGAAUCAUGGAGAGGCGAGUGGAAUUCCGAGUGUAGAGGUGAAAUUCGUAGAUAUUCGGAAGAACACCAGUGGCGAAGGCGGCUCGCUGGACCAUUACUGACGCUGAUGCACGAAAAGCUAGGGGAGCAAACAGG